rnacentral:sRNA from 1 species
GCGAGCCCUGGACGGGAGCGGCCGAGGCGGUUGGGCGGAGGCGGAGCAGGCGCCAUGUCAGCCCGGGAAGUGGCCGUGCUGCUGUUGUGGCUGAGCUGCUGUGGGUCGGCCGUUUGGAGGUAUUCCACUAACAGCCCAAACUAUCGCAUUUUUAGUACCAGAAGUACUAUUAAGUUAGAGUAUGAAGGAACAUUAUUUACUGAGUGGAGUGUGCCAGAAACUUGUUUUGUGCUAAAUAAAAGCUCACCCACGACAGUAUUGCGUUGUUCCUCACCUGGUGUUCAUGCUAUAAAACCAAUUGUUACCGGCCCAGAUGAAGAAGAACGCUAUUUAUUUGUGGAAAGUUCUCAUACUUGCUUUCUGUGGUACUAUAGAGUUAGGACCUGGCGUAUUGUAGUACCAAUGACAAAAGAUGAUGCACUAAAGGAGAUUAGAGGAAACCAAGUUACUUUUCAAGAUUGCUUUAUUGCAGAUUUUCUUAUUCUGUUGACUUUUCCUUUGUCGACCAUACCUGAAAUUCCUGGUUAUUUACCAAUCUCCUCACCACGUGGUAGUCAAUUAAUGGCAUCCUGGGAUGCUUGUGUAUUUGCAUCUGUUGUUUUGGUAACUGAUAGGGAGACCUUUCAAACAACUGAUUCAUUCAAAUCCUGGACCAGAAUCCAAGUGCCUCCAGACAUUCUGAGUAAUGAUGAAAGACGGAGUGUGGCUGAUGUGAUCUUAUCGCG